CCUACGGGGGGCAGCAGUGGGGAAUAUUGGGCAAUGGGCGCAAGCCUGACCCAGCAACGCCGCGUGAAGGAAGAAGGCUUUCGGGUUGUAAACUUCUUUUAAGAGGGAAGAGCAGAAGACGGUACCUCUUGAAUAAGCCACGGCUAACUACGUGCCAGCAGCCGCGGUAAUACGUAGGUGGCAAGCGUUGUCCGGAAUGACUGGGUGUAAAGGGCGUGUAGUCGGGCUGAUAAGGCAGAGGUGAAAUACCGUGGCUCAACAACGGAACUGCAUUUGAAACUGUCGGUCUUGAGUAUCGGAGAGGCAGGCGGAAUUCCUAGUGUAGCGGUGAAAUGCGUAGAUAUUAGGAGGAACACCAGUGGCGAAGGCGGCCUGCUGGACGACAACUGACGGUGAGGCGCGAAAGCGUGGGGAGCAAACAGGAUUAGAUACCCGUGUAGUC
rnacentral:rRNA from 1 species